rnacentral:misc_RNA from 1 species
AUAAACAUCCUUAGCCAUCUCCUGUGCCAGUCCGUAAGAUUCUGGAUGUAUCCUCGUAUCAUCCAAUAAAUCAAUAAAUUGGCUGCUGCUUGCAGCUAAACCACUACGCCGGACACGCAAGAAACCAACUGCAUUAACAAACACCUUUUUACCGAGUCCAUGUACUGUCACAAAGUCUUUUCUAGUGAAAAUUGCUCCAGCCCUCACCAGAGACCUCUGUAAAGAUGCUGCCUUUCUAGGGCCAAGCCCAGCAAUGAACUGUAAAGGGGCAAAUAACCAUUCAUGGCUUGUAGCCAUAUUAAUAUCGAGCCCUACCUGGUUAGUAACAUCUACCAUAACCUGUUCAACCAUUGCAUAUUUCUCAUCAGGGUUGAGAAAAUUCUCCAACGAGCUGAGCUUCCAAGACAAAAUCUCCCUUGCUGGUCCACAGAGUGUUGCAACUGUUGCCAACGGAUUUUGCAGAUAACGGCCAAGAGCAGCAGCCCGCCUAACAAUGCCUGGCUGCCCAGCUAGUUGGUCAGAAGAAAUCCGAGAAUUUUCAUAAAGGCGAGGCAGAGACUCAUCACCAUACACAAUGCUUAAUUCAUCCAUCUCAUGUCCAACAUCUCUCGGAUUUUCCUCCACCAUCUUAAAAAUGAUCUCAUAUAUAUCAUCCUUCAGCCUAGUACAAGACAAAACAAAUUCACAGCUCCUAAAACCACAACAUGUGGUUGGUGAUCAGUCAUGAACUUCAAAACACGUUGCUGGUCAUUUUUCUUAUUUUGCUGGUCAUUAAUAUUUUGAGAACGCAAGGUGAGGGACCCAGCGUAAAGUACAUCUAGCACCUCCCCUGAUGAAUCUAGCAUCACAAAAGUGGUUGCUGGCUUCCCAGGGCCCCAGCAGCAGGCCAUGACCCUUGGUGCAGCUUCAUCAUCUGAAGAAACAUCAUUUUCUUUGCGUUGAUAUGGACCCACAGAAACUUUAUUCCACAAAGCCUUUCCAUACUCCCAAAGCAACCAGCUUUUAGCUCUACUUGUUAACAAGGAUCUUGCUUCUUUCUCCAUUGAAGGUAACAAAUAAGUGUACAGAGCAUCCUUCAAUAUCAAUGUCCUCUGCUCAUUCCAGAGUUGAGCAGACUUACUAACACCAUCACUAAGAUAAUGCUCAUUGCAGUCACCAAUCAACUUAUUCAUGUAUUUUUCUGGAAGCUUAAAAGUUAUUUGAAGAAGCUUCUCUUCUUCAGCCUUUUGAAUGAGAAACCA